rnacentral:rRNA from 1 species
AGCGUACACGGUGGAUGCCCUGGCAGUCAGAGGCGAUGAAGGACGUGCUAAUCUGCGAUAAGCGUCGGUAAGGUGAUAUGAACCGUUAUAACCGGCGAUUUCCGAAUGGGGAAACCCAGUGUGAUUCGUCACACUAUCAUUAACUGAAUCCAUAGGUUAAUGAGGCGAACCGGGGGAACUGAAACAUCUAAGUACCCCGAGGAAAAGAAAUCAACCGAGAUUCCCCCAGUAGCGGCGAGCGAACGGGGAGCAGCCCAGAGCCUGAAUCAGUGUGUGUGUUAGUGGAAGCGUCUGGAAAGGCGCGCGAUACAGGGUGACAGCCCCGUACACAAAAAUGCACAUGCUGUGAGCUCGAUGAGUAGGGCGGGACACGUGGUAUCCUGUCUGAAUAUGGGGGGACCAUCCUCCAAGGCUAAAUACUCCUGACUGACCGAUAGUGAACCAGUACCGUGAGGGAAAGGCGAAAAGAACCCCGGCGAGGGGAGUGAAAAAGAACCUGAAACCGUGUACGUACAAGCAGUGGGAGCACGCUUAGGCGUGUGACUGCGUACCUUUUGUAUAAUGGGUCAGCGACUUAUAUUCUGUAGCAAGGUUAACCGAAUAGGGGAGCCGAAGGGAAACCGAGUCUUAACUGGGCGUUAAGUUGCAGGGUAUAGACCCGAAACCCGGUGAUCUAGCCAUGGGCAGGUUGAAGGUUGGGUAACACUAACUGGAGGACCGAACCGACUAAUGUUGAAAAAUUAGCGGAUGACUUGUGGCUGGGGGUGAAAGGCCAAUCAAACCGGGAGAUAGCUGGUUCUCCCCGAAAGCUAUUUAGGUAGCGCCUCGUGAAUUCAUCUCCGGGGGUAGAGCACUGUUUCGGCAAGGGGGUCAUCCCGACUUACCAACCCGAUGCAAACUGCGAAUACCGGAGAAUGUUAUCACGGGAGACACACGGCGGGUGCUAACGUCCGUCGUGAAGAGGGAAACAACCCAGACCGCCAGCUAAGGUCCCAAAGUCAUGGUUAAGUGGGAAACGAUGUGGGAAGGCCCAGACAGCCAGGAUGUUGGCUUAGAAGCAGCCAUCAUUUAAAGAAAGCGUAAUAGCUCACUGGUCGAGUCGGCCUGCGCGGAAGAUGUAACGGGGCUAAACCAUGCACCGAAGCUGCGGCAGCGACGCUUAUGCGUUGUUGGGUAGGGGAGCGUUCUGUAAGCCUGUGAAGGUGUACUGUGAGGUAUGCUGGAGGUAUCAGAAGUGCGAAUGCUGACAUAAGUAACGAUAAAGCGGGUGAAAAGCCCGCUCGCCGGAAGACCAAGGGUUCCUGUCCAACGUUAAUCGGGGCAGGGUGAGUCGACCCCUAAGGCGAGGCCGAAAGGCGUAGUCGAUGGGAAACAGGUUAAUAUUCCUGUACUUGGUGUUACUGCGAAGGGGGGACGGAGAAGGCUAUGUUGGCCGGGCGACGGUUGUCCCGGUUUAAGCGUGUAGGCUGGUUUUCCAGGCAAAUCCGGAAAAUCAAGGCUGAGGCGUGAUGACGAGGCACUACGGUGCUGAAGCAACAAAUGCCCUGCUUCCAGGAAAAGCCUCUAAGCAUCAGGUAACAUCAAAUCGUACCCCAAACCGACACAGGUGGUCAGGUAGAGAAUACCAAGGCGCUUGAGAGAACUCGGGUGAAGGAACUAGGCAAAAUGGUGCCGUAACUUCGGGAGAAGGCACGCUGAUAUGUAGGUGAAGUCCCUCGCGGAUGGAGCUGAAAUCAGUCGAAGAUACCAGCUGGCUGCAACUGUUUAUUAAAAACACAGCACUGUGCAAACACGAAAGUGGACGUAUACGGUGUGACGCCUGCCCGGUGCCGGAAGGUUAAUUGAUGGGGUCAGCGCAAGCGAAGCUCUUGAUCGAAGCCCCGGUAAACGGCGGCCGUAACUAUAACGGUCCUAAGGUAGCGAAAUUCCUUGUCGGGUAAGUUCCGACCUGCACGAAUGGCGUAAUGAUGGCCAGGCUGUCUCCACCCGAGACUCAGUGAAAUUGAACUCGCUGUGAAGAUGCAGUGUACCCGCGGCAAGACGGAAAGACCCCGUGAACCUUUACUAUAGCUUGACACUGAACAUUGAGCCUUGAUGUGUAGGAUAGGUGGGAGGCUUUGAAGUGUGGACGCCAGUCUGCAUGGAGCCGACCUUGAAAUACCACCCUUUAAUGUUUGAUGUUCUAACGUGGACCCGUAAUCCGGGUUGCGGACAGUGUCUGGUGGGUAGUUUGACUGGGGCGGUCUCCUCCUAAAGAGUAACGGAGGAGCACGAAGGUUGGCUAAUCCUGGUCGGACAUCAGGAGGUUAGUGCAAUGGCAUAAGCCAGCUUGACUGCGAGCGUGACGGCGCGAGCAGGUGCGAAAGCAGGUCAUAGUGAUCCGGUGGUUCUGAAUGGAAGGGCCAUCGCUCAACGGAUAAAAGGUACUCCGGGGAUAACAGGCUGAUACCGCCCAAGAGUUCAUAUCGACGGCGGUGUUUGGCACCUCGAUGUCGGCUCAUCACAUCCUGGGGCUGAAGUAGGUCCCAAGGGUAUGGCUGUUCGCCAUUUAAAGUGGUACGCGAGCUGGGUUUAGAACGUCGUGAGACAGUUCGGUCCCUAUCUGCCGUGGGCGCUGGAGAACUGAGGGGGGCUGCUCCUAGUACGAGAGGACCGGAGUGGACGCAUCACUGGUGUUCGGGUUGUCAUGCCAAUGGCACUGCCCGGUAGCUAAAUGCGGAAGAGAUAAGUGCUGAAAGCAUCUAAGCACGAAACUUGCCCCGAGAUGAGUUCUCCCUGACUCCUUGA